rnacentral:tRNA from 1 species
GCCUGGGUGGCUCAGUAGGUUAAGCGGCUGCCUUCGGCUCAGGUCAUGAUCCCAGGGUUGUGGGAUCAAGUCCCACAUCAGGCU